UGGCGCAGCUAACGCAUUAAGUUAUCCGCCUGGGGAGUACGGCCGCAAGGUUAAAACUCAAAGGAAUUGACGGGGGCCUGCACAAGCGUGGAGCAUGUGGUUUAAUUCGAAGCAACGCGCAGAACCUUACCAGCGUUUGACAUGGUAGGACGACUUCCAGAGAUGGAUUUCUUCCCUUCGGGGACCUACACACAGGUGCUGCAUGGCUGUCGUCAGCUCGUGUCGUGAGAUGUUGGGUUAAGUCCCGCAACGAGCGCAACCCUCGACUUUAGUUACCAUCAUUAAGUUGGGUACUUUAAAGUAACCGCCGGUGAUAAGCCGGAGGAAGGUGGGGAUGACGUCAAGUCCUCAUGGCCCUUACGCGCUGGGCUACACACGUGCUACAAUGGCAAGUACAGUGGGCAGCAAUCCCGCGAGGGUGAGCUAAUCUCCAAAACUUGUCUCAGUUCGGAUUGUUCUCUGCAACUCGAGAGCAUGAAGGCGGAAUCGCUAGUAAUCG
rnacentral:rRNA from 1 species